rnacentral:rRNA from 1 species
UACGUGGGGCGCAAGCGUUUGUCCGGAAUUAUUGGGCGUAAAGAGCUCGUAGGCGGCUUGUCACGUCGGCUGUGAAAACCCGGGGCUCAACCCCGGGCCUGCAGUCGAUACGGGCAGGCUAGAGUUCGGUAGGGGAGACUGGAAUUCCUGGUGUAGCGGUGAAAUGCGCAGAUAUCAGGAGGAACACCGGUGGCGAAGGCGGGUCUCUGGGCAGUAACUGACGCUGAGGAGCGAAAGCGUGGGGAGCGAACAGG